rnacentral:rRNA from 4 species
CAACGCGACCCCAGGUCAGGCGGGGCUACCCGCUGAGUU